GGCUCUUCUCAUUUAAACAAAUUUCAUCAUGAUUAUUGUAUAAUUUUACUUACACACGAAAAUGAUGCAUUUUGGGAUUCUUCAGGAUGAUAAAUGACACUAAGAAAAUUUAAAUUACUGAGUAAUGUUAUUAGAAGUUACAGAUAGAUGAAAAACAUAAAGAAACGAGCAGGACAGGUAGAACCACAGCCCAGCAUUGGGAAAUCAUAUACUAGUCCAAUACCCAAAAUAGUAUAAAGCAGGAAACAGAACAUAAGAGCAAGAUUCUUGGAUUCAUCAACUAAUGACUCAAGCCCCUAGCAUGAUGCACCACCCUGCCUUCCACAGAAACCUUACAGAAUUGACCCAUACUCCCCUAGAACCAGUCUUCAGGUGAUUUCAAUCCACAAGGCCAGAUGGGAAUAAUUCCACUGCUUCCAGCAAGUUUCAUCCUAUACGGUUACAAUUUUUUGGCUAUAAAUUUUAAUGAAUUUA